GGAGGGAGGAGGAGGGAGGCGGCGAGGAGCCGACGGCUCCACCUGAUGGAGAAGCGCGGAGAGUCCCUAGACCUCGGAGUGCGCUGCAAGAGGGGAGAGGAGAGAGACCGCCGCCCCUGCUGGAAGCCUUCGCGUCCGGGGGGCGGCGCGCGGGGGACGGGGUCUCUGGACAGUCGGUGGAGGCAGCAGCCCUACAGAGACAGCCGAAAGCCAGCAACUUGGAAAACCGCCCGAAUUCUGGUUUUCUGCACAUCCAGGCUGGCUCCAGGUCUCUUGUGCCCACCGUGCAAGCCGGUGGGAUGCCAGCAGGUGGCAUCCUCUCCAGCGUUUCUUCGCCAGGCGUGGAGUCCGGAGGCCGAAUCCAUCAGUCCCCAGCCCCCUCCCCAAGCCUCCGGUGCCAAGUGCUGGGUCCUGUGAGCCCCUGGCCCCGCCCCCCACCUCCGCCAGCGGGGCGAGCCGGAGCUGGAUGGCCCAGACCCGCGCGGAGGCGGGAGCCUACAGAGGAUGCCGGCCGGCCCCAGGUUCUGCUGCUGGCUGGCCAAGAAGUGACAGGAGGGCAAGGCUCCCCCGGAAAGCGUCCAAGCCCUGCUCUCCUGCUCUUCCAAGCCUUGCUGCCUGUUGCCCCCAGGGUUUUCUGAGUUCUGGGACGAAGAGAGUGAUGCGCAAGGUUCUGGGUCCCGGUGCAGGAGUGAGGGGUACGGCUGUCGAGUGCUCGGAGCAGGCUGGCUUUUGGGCACACUGCAGACCUCAGCUCACCGCCACUUUCUCCUGACCUUCCUCGUGGCUGUCAGCCCAAUGUCUAACAUGUGUUAUUCCCUCGCUUUGUUCAAAGGCC
rnacentral:sRNA from 1 species